CACUGCUCUGACGGAUGCUUUUAUUAGACCAAGCCGCUGAGGACUUGAGGGCUUGCUCUCCUGUCUGACUCGUGUAAUGGUGACUCUGGAUAACCAAAUUUCUGACAAGCGCACGUACUUCUCUUCUGAGCGAGACGGCGCUGCCACUUUCGAGUGUCUGCCUUAUCAGCUAUCAACCGUUCGUUAUGCGCGACCGAUGGCUUUGACGGGUAACGGGGAAUCAGGGUUCGAUUCCGGAGAGGCAGCCUGAGAGACGGCUACCACGUCCAAGGACGGCAGCAGGCACGCAAAUUACCCAAUCCCAGCAAAUGGGGGAGGUAGUGACGAAAUCUAACGAUGCGGGCGCCCUUUCUGGGGCCCCGCAAUCGGAAUGGGCACUUUCUAAACAACCUGUUGAGAACCUACUGAAGGGCAAGUCUGGUGCCAGCAGCCGCGGUAAUUCCAGCUUCAGCAGCAUCUAUUAAAGUUGCUGCGGUUAAAAGGCUCGCAGUUGAAUGUCUGUAUCGAGCGCAGGUCAGGUGGACGUUGGGGCGUGGAAGUACGGGCAGUUGGAUGUCCGGAGGGCCUUCGUGCUCAACGGCUCCUUCGGCUUUUCCACACACCCCCGUCCGUGACAAGCCUCCUCGCUCGGGUACAUAACGGGAAUCGGUCAAACGGAGUGUGGUCGGGGGUUGGGGCGCGUGGCCUCGGUUGCGUGUCUCUUCUUUCGGCUGCGUUAAGCUCCAUCGGUUUCACGGUCACCUUGAGUAAAUCAGAGUGCUCAAAGCAGUCGUAGGGGCCUUGCGCCCUGUGAACAGUCUUGACGGACUGACUUGGUUUUGCAUGGCAUGUCGGAAGACGACGUCGUGUGCUGGCUCAGAGGAUAAAUCAGUGGUACAAGCCAGCCUCGACGUAAUGAUUAAAAGGGACGGUCGAGGGCAUUGGUAUUGCGAGGCGAGAGGUGAAAUUCUGUGACCCCCGCAAGACCUCCUGAAGCGAAAGCGUCUGCCAAGGACGUUUUCAUUAAUCAUGAACGAAAGUUAGAGGAUCGAAGGCGAUCAGAUACCGCCCUAGUUCUAACCCUAAACGAUGCCAACCAUCAAUCCGCGCGUAGCACCCUUCUUAACGGGCUCGGCGGGCAGCUCCCCACUCACGGGAAACCAGAGCCUCUGGGUUCCGGGGGGAGUCUGGUUGCAAAGCUGAAACUUAAAGGAAUUGACGGAAAGGCACCACCAGGCGUGGAGCCUGCGGCUUAAUUUGACUCAACACGGGCCAUCUCACCAGGCCAGCACUCUUGUACGAUUGACAGAUUGAGAGC
rnacentral:rRNA from 1 species